rnacentral:rRNA from 1 species
GACGAACGCUGGCGGCGUGCUUAACACAUGCAAGUCGAACGGUGAAGCGCCUUCCUUUUUGGUGGGUGUGGAUGAGUGGCGAACGGGUGAGUAACACGUGGGUAACCUGCCCCCUUCUUCUGGAUAACCGCAUGAAAGUGUGGCUAAUACGGGAUAUUCUGGGUCUGUCGCAUGAUGGGUCUGGGAAAGAUAUUGUUUCGGUGGGGGAUGGGCUCGCGGCCUAUCAGCUUGUUGGUGGGGUGAUGGCCUACCAAGGCGGUGACGGGUAGCCGGCCUGAGAGGGUGGACGGUCACACUGGGACUGAGACACGGCCCAGACUCCUACGGGAGGCAGCAGUGGGGAAUAUUGCACAAUGGGCGCAAGCCUGAUGCAGCGACGCCGCGUGAGGGAUGGAGGCCUUCGGGUUGCGAACCUCUUUCGCCAGUGAAGCAGGCCUGCCUCGUUUGUGGGUGGGUUGACGGUAGCUGGAUAAGAAGCGCCGGCUAACUACGUG